rfam:Myotis davidii contig314632, whole genome shotgun sequence.
CUUCAGUGAUGACACGAUGACGAGUCAGAAAGGUCACAUCCUGCUCUUGGUCCUUGUCAGUGCCAUGUUCUGUGGCACUGCAUAGGUUCCUUUUGCAAACGUGUCCUAUUCAUUGGUUGAUUAGAGGCAUUUGUCUGAGAAGG